UACGGGGGGAGCAAGCGUUGUUCGGAUUUACUGGGCGUAAAGGGCGCGUAGGCGGUCAGCACAAGUCAGUUGUGAAAUCUCCGGGCUUAACCCGGAAAGGUCAACUGAUACUGUGCGACUAGAGUGCGGAAGGGGCAACUGGAAUUCUCGGUGUAGCGGUGAAAUGCGUAGAUAUCGAGAGGAACACCUGCGGCGAAGGCGGGUUGCUGGGCCGACACUGACGCUGAAGCGCGAAAGCCAGGGGAGCAAACGGG
rnacentral:rRNA from 1 species